rnacentral:rRNA from 1 species
UUGGAGGGCAAGUCUGGUGCCAGCAGCCGCGGUAAUUCCAGCUCCAAUAGCGUAUAUUAAAGUUGUUGCAGUUAAAAAGCUCGUAGUUGAAUUUCGGGAUCAAUGCGUCGGUCGUGCCUUCGGUACGUACUAGCGUCAUUGAUUCCUCCCUUCUGAAGAACCGUGAUGUCAUUAAUUUGGUGUUACGGGGAAUCAGGACUGUUACCUUGAAAAAAUUAGAGUGUUUAAAGCAGGCUAACGCUUGAAUACAUUAGCACGGAAUAAUGAAAUAGGACGUUCGAACCUAUUUUGUUGGUUUCUAGGAUCGACGUAAUGAUUAAUAGGGAUGGUUGGGGGCAUUAGUAUUCAAUUGUCAGAGGUGAAAUUCUUGGAUUUAUUGAAGACUAACUACUGCGAAAGCAUUUGCCAAGGAUGUUUUCAUUAAUCAAGAACGAAAGUUAGGGGAUCGAAGACGAUCAGAUACCGUCGUAGUCUUAACCAUAAACUAUGCCGACUAGGGAUCGGAUGAUGUUAAUUUUUUAAUGACUCAUUCGGCACCUUACGGGAAAC